CCUACGGGGUGCAGCAGUGAGGAAUAUUGGUCAAUGGACGAGAGUCUGAACCAGCCAAGUAGCGUGAAGGAUGACUGCCCUAUGGGUUGUAAACUUCUUUUAUAUGGGAAUAAAAUGUUCCACGUGUGGGAUUUUGUAUGUACUAUAUGAAUAAGGAUCGGCUAACUCCGUGCCAGCAGCCGCGGUAAUACGGAGGAUCCGAGCGGUAUCCGGAUUUAUUGGGUUUAAAGGGAGCGUAGGUGGAUUGUUAAGUCAGUUGUGAAAGUUUGCGGCUCAACCGUAAAAUUGCAGUUGAAACUGGCAGUCUUGAGUACAGUAGAGGUGGGCGGAAUUCGGGGUGUAGCGGUGAAAUGCUUAGAUAUCACGAAGAACUCCGAUUGCGAAGGCAGUUCACUGGACUGCAACUGACACUGAGGCUCGAAAGUGUGGGUAUCAAACAGGAUUAGAUACCCUAGUAGUC
rnacentral:rRNA from 1 species